UUCAUGAGGAAAAUUUUAGGGGACGGCAUUCUCACUUAGCGUUGGAAUUUGAUUGAGUGCGCAAUGUUGAAAAUUUCCCUCGAACAUUCUCAAAUUUUUCCCCCCCACUCAGACAAUAUUCUCACUUCCAAUCAUAUUGAAGUUUCCAAGAUUUCAGAUCGAAGUGUCUAGGGUUUCAGCUAGGCUAGUUGCUAUUCGUUGCUGGGAUGGAAGUCAAGGUUAUCAUUGGGUUGGAGGUUCACAAAAAAAUUGUGUGCGCUAUUUGUUCAGGGGAUUCACCAGUUUGGUUUGGGACUUUGUAAUGAGAGUAAUGCAGAGAGGAAGAUUGAAGAUGAAGUAAAUAACAGAAUUCAGAAAUUGUAUUCAUUAUAUUCUUAUAAUGUUGUAAUGCCACAUUUUUAACUACUUAUCUUUCAUAUUCUUUCAGAAUCCAAUGCCACUUAUGGGUUGGAAUUUAUUUGUUGUCUUAGAAUUUAGAAUUUCUGCAACCAUCUUUAAACUGCCAC